AGCGGCGGACGGGUUAGUAACGCGUGGGAACGUGCCCUUCACUACGGAAUAGUCCCGGGAAACUGGGUUUAAUACCGUAUACGCCCUUCGGGGGAAAGAAUUUCGGUGAAGGAUCGGCCCGCGUUAGAUUAGAUAGUUGGUGGGGUAACGGCCUACCAAGUCUACGAUCUAUAGCUGGUUUUAGAGGAUGAUCAGCAACACUGGGACUGAGACACGGCCC
rnacentral:rRNA from 1 species